rnacentral:rRNA from 1 species
AGGCAGGCGACCACAGUGGGUUUAGCGACUGGGGUGAAGUCGUAACAAGGUAGCCGUAGGGGAACCUGCGGCUGGAUCACCUCCUUU